UGUUUCGGCAAGGGGGUCAUCCCGACUUACCAACCCGAUGCAAACUGCGAAUACCGGAGAAUGUUAUCACGGGAGACACACGGCGGGUGCUAACGUCCGUCGUGAAGAGGGAAACAACCCAGACCGCCAGCUAAGGUCCCAAAGUCAUGGUUAAGUGGGAAACGAUGUGGGAAGGCCCAGACAGCCAGGAUGUUGGCUUAGAAGCAGCCAUCAUUUAAAGAAAGCGUAAUAGCUCACUGGUCGAGUCGGCCUGCGCGGAAGAUGUAACGGGGCUAAACCAUGCACCGAAGCUGCGGCAGCGACGCUUAUGCGUUGUUGGGUAGGGGAGCGUUCUGUAAGCCUGUGAAGGUGUACUGUGAGGUAUGCUGGAGGUAUCAGAAGUGCGAAUGCUGACAUAAGUAACGAUAAAGCGGGUGAAAAGCCCGCUCGCCGGAAGACCAAGGGUUCCUGUCCAACGUUAAUCGGGGCAGGGUGAGUCGACCCCUAAGGCGAGGCCGAAAGGCGUAGUCGAUGGGAAACAGGUUAAUAUUCCUGUACUUGGUGUUACUGCGAAGGGGGGACGGAGAAGGCUAUGUUGGCCGGGCGACGGUUGUCCCGGUUUAAGCGUGUAGGCUGGUUUUCCAGGCAAAUCCGGAAAAUCAAGGCUGAGGCGUGAUGACGAGGCACUACGGUGCUGAAGCAACAAAUGCCCUGCUUCCAGGAAAAGCCUCUAAGCAUCAGGUAACAUCAAAUCGUACCCCAAACCGACACAGGUGGUCAGGUAGAGAAUACCAAGGCGCUUGAGAGAACUCGGGUGAAGGAACUAGGCAAAAUGGUGCCGUAACUUCGGGAGAAGGCACGCUGAUAUGUAGGUGAAGUCCCUCGCGGAUGGAGCUGAAAUCAGUCGAAGAUACCAGCUGGCUGCAACUGUUUAUUAAAAACACAGCACUGUGCAAACACGAAAGUGGACGUAUACGGUGUGACGCCUGCCCGGUGCCGGAAGGUUAAUUGAUGGGGUUAGCGCAAGCGAAGCUCUUGAUCGAAGCCCCGGUAAACGGCGGCCGUAACUAUAACGGUCCUAAGGUAGCGAAAUUCCUUGUCGGGUAAGUUCCGACCUGCACGAAUGGCGUAAUGAUGGCCAGGCUGUCUCCACCCGAGACUCAGUGAAAUUGAACUCGCUGUGAAGAUGCAGUGUACCCGCGGCAAGACGGAAAGACCCCGUGAACCUUUACUAUAGCUUGACACUGAACAUUGAGCCUUGAUGUGUAGGAUAGGUGGGAGGCUUUGAAGUGUGGACGCCAGUCUGCAUGGAGCCGACCUUGAAAUACCACCCUUUAAUGUUUGAUGUUCUAACGUUGACCCGUAAUCCGGGUUGCGGACAGUGUCUGGUGGGUAGUUUGACUGGGGCGGUCUCCUCCUAAAGAGUAACGGAGGAGCACGAAGGUUGGCUAAUCCUGGUCGGACAUCAGGAGGUUAGUGCAAUGGCAUAAGCCAGCUUGACUGCGAGCGUGACGGCGCGAGCAGGUGCGAAAGCAGGUCAUAGUGAUCCGGUGGUUCUGAAUGGAAGGGCCAUCGCUCAACGGAUAAAAGGUACUCCGGGGAUAACAGGCUGAUACCGCCCAAGAGUUCAUAUCGACGGCGGUGUUUGGCACCUCGAUGUCGGCUCAUCACAUCCUGGGGCUGAAGUAGGUCCCAAGGGUAUGGCUGUUCGCCAUUUAAAGUGGUACGCGAGCUGGGUUUAGAACGUCGUGAGACAGUUCGGUCCCUAUCUGCCGUGGGCGCUGGAGAACUGAGGGGGGC
rnacentral:rRNA from 1 species